rnacentral:rRNA from 1 species
GUGAGGAAUAUUGGUCAAUGGACGGAAGUCUGAACCAGCCAUGCCGCGUGCAGGAAUAAGGUCCUAUGGAUUGUAAACUGCUUUUAUUCGGGAAUAAACCUCUUUACGUGUAGGGAGCUGAAGGUACCGAAGGAAUAAGCACCGGCUAACUCCGUGCCAGCAGCCGCGGUAAUACGGAGGGUGCAAGCGUUAUCCGGAAUCAUUGGGUUUAAAGGGUCCGCAGGCGGGCUAUCAAGUCAGAGGUGAAAUCCCACAGCUUAACUGUGGAACUGCCUUUGAAACUGAUGGUCUUGAAUUAAGUGGGCGUUGGCGGAAUAUGACAUGUAGCGGUGAAAUGCAUAGAUAUGUCAUGGAACACCGAAAGCGAAGGCAGCUAACGAUACUUAUAUUGACGCUCAUGGACGAAAGCGUGGGUAGCGAACAGGAUUAGAAACCCUAGUAGUCC